rnacentral:sRNA from 1 species
CCCGGGGACUGGCAUCACGGGAGAGUGGCCAGGCGCCCCCCGCCCGCAGGGCAUGCCCACCUGGACAGGACUGAAGGCUGCUGCCACCUCUGCAGCGCCUGUCAUUCUCACACCCACCCCUCUGCCCAGUUUUGCUGCGUCGCGUGAAGGAUCCUGCGCUGGCGCCCCCACCUGGUGAUGCCGAGUCCCUGGGGGUGGUUUGCUGUGACUGCAUGCGGCGCGCAGCGGGUAUAUGUGCAGGGGGGGAGGAGCUAUGUGCGCAGGGGAGGAGGAGAGAUGUGCCCAGGGGAGGGGCCUGCAACUCUGGUCACUAGAGGUUUGGGGCAUACGGUUUGGGAAGGCCAGGACGCGUAAAGGGGCUUCUGGGGGUCCCGAAGUAGCACGGGAGGGUGGGCAGGGCUGGUCACGCCUCCUGUGCUCGGGCAGAACAACUUCGAGGAGCCAGUGGCACUGCAGGAGAUGGACACAAGCAACGGGGUCCUAUUGCCCUUUUACGAUCCCGACUCCAGCAUCGUCUACCUGUGUGGCAAGGGCGACAGCAGCAUUCGGUACUUUGAGAUUACCGACGAGCCGCCUUUCGUGCACUACCUGAACACGUUCAGCAGCAAAGAGCCGCAGCGGGGCAUGGGUUUCAUGCCCAAAAGGGGACUGGAUGUCAGCAAGUGUGAGAUCGCCCGGUUCUACAAGUUACACGAAAGAAAGUGUGAACCUAUCAUCAUGACUGUGCCCCGCAAGUCAGACCUGUUCCAGGACGAUCUGUACCCGGAUACGCCGGGCCCGGAGCCGGCCCUAGAAGCGGACGAAUGGCUAUCCGGCCAGGACGCCGAACCCGUGCUCAUUUCGCUGAGGGACGGCUAUGUGCCCCCUAAGCACCGCGAGCUCCGGGUCACGAAGCGCAACAUCCUGGACGUGCGCCCGCCCUCCGGCCCCCGCCGCAGCCAGUCGGCCAGCGACGCCCCCUUGUCGCAGCAGCACACCCUGGAGACGCUGCUGGAAGAGAUUAAGGCCCUCCGCGAGCGGGUGCAGGCCCAGGAGCAGCGCAUCACGGCUCUGGAGAACAUGCUGUGCGAGCUGGUGGACGGCACGGACUAGCCAGGCGCGCCAGGCAGGCGGAGCAGGGCGGGGCGCACAAGCUCGGCCCCGCCCCGACCUUUAGUCCCGAACUCCGGACCCGCCUUCUUGGGCUGGGGCCGGGGGCGGGACUGGGAAGGGAACUACGCCCCUCGCGGGAGACCAGAACUCUUGGAGCUUAGGGGAGACCCACGUCGGUCCGGCGGAGGCUGGACUGCGAGCCUUGUCUGGGACUCGGCUGCAGCUGGCCUAGGGAAGCCUGGGGUAACCUGGGGGGCUCAGCAAUGGUGCUGCACGGCGAGGUGGUGUCCCCCUUUGUCCUCCGCCCAGGGCAGGGAAAGUGCUUAGUAUUAGCGCGAUGCUUGGGGAUAUUGGAGCCUGAGCUUGACCUCAAACGGGUGGCGAUUUGAUGGGUCCCCCCAGGCUGGGGAAAAUGACAGCGCUUCUCCUAAUCAGCUCACUGGAUUCCAUCACCCUGAGCGGUAAACUAGAUGGGCGUCACCCCAGUUCUGCAGACACAUACACAAUCCGUUUGCUGCAGAGCCGGACUCAGUGGCUACACCCACAGCGGUCUGUGGUAGAGAGCUGUCUUCCUUCUUUCCACCGACAGGGGCGAGGGCUGCUUCCUCGCGGCAGCCCCCGCGAAGAAAUCUCGAGAGAACUGGCAUGAGGAAUUAGUUUCAUCACAAAUACACACACACUGCCCCCAACCCUCUGCCGUUGCCUCUCUCAGAAAAACAAGACGUACUGAAUGAAACAUUUUACUAAGCGUUC